rnacentral:pre_miRNA from 1 species
AGCCUUCACUAUCCGUGCUGAGAUUUCGUCGGCAACCUACCCCCUGGGGCUGAUGAAACUUCCAAAAAAGUAAGGUG